GUGAGGAAUAUUGGUCAAUGGGCGCAGGCCUGAACCAGCCAAGUAGCGUGAAGGAUGACUGCCCUAUGGGUUGUAAACUUCUUUUAGAAGGGAAUAAAGUGGAGUAUGUAUACUCCUUUGUAUGUACCUUCUGAAUAAGGAUCGGCUAACUCCGUGCCAGCAGCCGCGGUAAUACGGAGGAUCCGAGCGUUAUCCGGAUUUAUUGGGUUUAAAGGGAGUGUAGGCGGAUGUUUAAGUCAGUUGUGAAAGUUUAAGGCUCAACCUUGAAAUUGCAGUUGAUACUGGAUGUCUUGAGUGCAUUGAAUGUGGACGGAAUUCGUGGUGUAGCGGUGAAAUGCUUAGAUAUCACGAAGAACUCCGAUUGCGAAGGCAGCUCACAGUGAUGUAACUGACGCUGAUGCUCGAAAGUGUGGGUAUCAAACAGGAUUAGAUACCCUGGUAGUCC
rnacentral:rRNA from 1 species